UAAUACGGAGGAUCCAAGCGUUAUCCGGAAUCAUUGGGUUUAAAGGGUCCGUAGGCGGUUUGGUAAGUCAGUGGUGAAAGCCCAUCGCUCAACGGUGGAACGGCCAUUGAUACUGCCAGACUUGAAUUAUUAGGAAGUAACUAGAAUAUGUAGUGUAGCGGUGAAAUGCUUAGAGAUUACAUGGAAUACCAAUUGCGAAGGCAGGUUACUACUAAUGGAUUGACGCUGAUGGACGAAAGCGUGGGUAGCGAACAGG
rnacentral:rRNA from 1 species